AGAGGAAGUAAAAGUCGUAACAAGGUUUCCGUAGGUGAACCUGCGGAAGGAUCAUUACCGAAUUGUCAACAAGAGCUGUUGCUGGUCCCCGUACGGGGGCAUGUGCACGCUUUGUUUACACAUCCACUCACACCUGUGCACCCUCCGUAGUUCUAUGGCCUGGGUGGGCUCUGCCCUCCUGGCGUGGUUCUAUGUCUUUACACACACACUACAAUGAAGUCUUAUGGAAUGUAUGUCGCGUUUAACGCAAUGAAAUACAACUUUCAGCAACGGAUCUCUUGGCUCUCGCAUCGAUGAAGAACGCAGCGAAAUGCGAUAAGUAAUGUGAAUUGCAGAAUUCAGUGAAUCAUCGAAUCUUUGAACGCACCUUGCGCCCUUUGGCUAUUCCGAAGGGCAUGCCUGUUUGAGUAUCAUGAACACCUCAACUCUCAUGGCUUGCCAUGAUGAGCUUGGACUUUGGGGGUUUUGUUGGCCUGUGAGCCAGCUCCUCUUAAAUGAAUUAGCUUGCCGGUGUUUGGUGGCGUCACGGGUGUGAUAACUAUCUACGCUUGUGGUUUCCCACCAGGUAACCUUCAGCAAUGAAGGUUCAUCGGAGCUUAUAAAUGUCUCUCCUCGGUGAGGACACAUUUUGACCAUUUGAUCUCAAAUCAGGUAGGACUACCCGCUGAACUUAAGCAUAUCAAUAAGCGGAGGAA
rnacentral:rRNA from 1 species